GAUGAACGCUAGCGGCAGGCUUAAUACAUGCAAGUCGUGGGGUAGCGCAGUGUAGCAAUACAUGGGCGACGACCGGCAAACGGGUGCGUAACACGUACGCAAUCUACCCACUACAGGGGAAUAGCCCAGGGAAACUUGGAUUAAUACCCCAUAUUAUAUAGGGUUGGCAUCAACUUUAUAUCAAAGCUUCGGCGGUAGUGGAUGAGCGUGCGGUUGACUAGAUAGUUGGCGGGGUAACGGCCCACCAAGUCUACGAUCAAUAGCUGAUGUGAGAGCAUGAUCAGCCACACGGGCACUGAGACACGGGCCCGACUCCUACGGGAGGCAGCAGUAAGGAAUAUUGGGCAAUGGACGCAAGUCUGACCCAGCCAUGCCGCGUGAAGGAUGAAGGUCCUCUGGAUUGUAAACUUCUUUUAUCUGGGGCGAAAACAACUCUUUCUAGAGUUCUUGACAGUACCAGAGGAAUAAGCACCGGCUAACUCCGUGCCAGCCGCCGCCGUAAUAC
rnacentral:rRNA from 1 species